rnacentral:misc_RNA from 1 species
GAUGAAGAACGCAGCGAAAUGCGAUACUUGGUGUGAAUUGCAGAAUCCCGUGAACCAUCGAUUCUUUGAACGCAAGUUGCGCCUCAAGCCAUUAGGUUGAGGGCACGUCUGCCUGGGCGUCACAUAUCGUUGCCUGAUGCCAGUUUCCUCGUGAUGGGUGACUGUGCAGGGCGAAUGAUGGCUUCCCGUGAGCAUUGUUGCCUCAUGGUUGGUUGAAAAUUGAGUCCUUGGUAGGGAGCGCCGUGAUAGAUGGUGGUUGAGUGACGAACGAGACCCAAUCAUGUGAGACCCCUACCGAAUUUGGCCUUCAUGACCCACAUGCGUCUUUGGAACGCUCAUGACGAGACCUCAGGUCAGGCGGGGCUACCCGCUGAGUUUAAGCAUAUCAAUAAGCGGAGGA